UACGUAGGGUGCAAGCGUUGUCCGGAAUUAUUGGGCAUAAAGAGCUUGUAGGCGGUUUGUCGCGUCUGCUGUGAAAUUUCGGGGCUCAACCCCGAACUUGCAGUGGGUACGGGCAGACUAGAGUGUGGUAGGGGAGACUGGAAUUCCUGGUGUAGCGGUGAAAUGCGCAGAUAUCAGGAGGAACACCGAUGGCGAAGGCAGGUCUCUGGGCCACUACUGACGCUGAGAAGCGAAAGCAUGGGGAGCGAACAGG
rnacentral:rRNA from 1 species